AUAUUACUAAGCGGAGGAAAAGAAAUCAACGAAGAUUGCCUCAGUAGCGGCGAGUGAAGCGGCAAUAGCUCAAGUUUAGAAUCUGUGGCUGUAUCAGUCACCGAAUUGUAAUCUAAAGGGGCUAACAAAAGGGGAUUUGGAAGCAUAAGUUCCUUGGAACAGGACAUCAUAGUGGGUGAAAAUCCCGUAUGUAGCUUCCAUUGAACCGAAUGUUAACUUACUAAGAGUCGGGUUGUUUGGGAUUGCAGCUCUAAAUGGGAGAUAAACUUCUUCUAAGGCUAAAUAUCUAUGGGAGACCGAUAGCGCACAAGUA
rnacentral:rRNA from 1 species